rnacentral:rRNA from 1 species
CCUACGGGUGGCAGCAGUGGGGAAUAUUGGACAAUGGGGGGGAACCCUGAUCCAGCCAUGCCGCGUGUGUGAAGAAGGCCCUCGGGUUGUAAAGCACUUUCAGUGAGGAAGAACGCCUGGUGGUUAAUACCCAUCAGGAAAGACAUCACUCACAGAAGAAGCACCGGCUAACUCCGUGCCAGCAGCCGCGGUAAUACGGAGGGUGCGAGCGUUAAUCGGAAUUACUGGGCGUAAAGCGCGCGUAGGUGGCUUGAUAAGCCGGUUGUGAAAGCCCCGGGCUCAACCUGGGAACGGCAUCCGGAACUGUCAAGCUAGAGUGCAGGAGAGGAAGGUAGAAUUCCCGGUGUAGCGGUGAAAUGCGUAGAGAUCGGGAGGAAUACCAGUGGCGAAGGCGGCCUUCUGGACUGACACUGACACUGAGGUGCGAAAGCGUGGGUAGCAAACAGGAUUAGAUACCCUGGUAGUC